UAGCUGAGUCAGUAAAGAAUCUGCCUGCAAAACAGAAGACCCAGGUUCAAUCCCUGG
rnacentral:tRNA from 1 species